AACGAAUCUUAACAUCAAUUUGAGGCCACACCAAGAAGAAUUAUUACAAUUGUCAAAUUUGGCAGAUAUCAACGCAAACCCUUUAAUAUUUCAAAUCAUUAUUGAGAUGCUUAAUAUGAAAAUCCCACCCGAAGCGAUUUUUAAGGUUUUGAAAACCAUCAGGAAAUCACAAAAAAAUAAAUCGCACAAUACAAGGAAAUCA